CGAAAAUAAUAGAUUUGUCCUUGGCCCGCUAAGUCGAAGGACCCGCAGUUUAAUUCCGUGGUAUUUUUGA
rnacentral:tRNA from 1 species